UUUGCUUUUCAGCCUUUUGGUUGAGAUGAAGUAUAGUACCUGCUCCUAUCAGUGUAAUAUCUGAUACGUUCUCUACUUGAAAAUGACAUAUUAGACAUAUUACAUGGAUUUUUGGAGCAGGUGAAAUAGAAGCUUGCCCAGUCCAUUCCUCGCAUUGACCAGGUAUUGUAGUACUUCUGAGAACAGUGCACCCCCU